UAAUACGGAGGGUCCAAGCGUUGUCCGGAUUUAUUGGGUUUAAAGAGUGCGUAGGUGGUUUAUUAAGUCAGUGGUGAAAUCCUGCAGCUCAACUGUAGAACUGCCAUUGAUACUGAUAAACUUGAGUUUGGUUUAGGUAAGUGGAAUUUAUGAUGUAGCGGUGAAAUGCAUAGAUAUCAUAAGGAACACCAAUAGCGAAGGCAGCUUACUGGACCACAACUGACACUGAGGCACGAAAGCGUGGGUAGCGAACAGGAUUAGAUACCCUGGUAGUCCACGCCGUAAACGAUGCUCACUCGAUGUUAGCGAUAUACUGUUAGCGUCCAAGCUAAAGCGUUAAGUGAGCCACCUGGGGAGUACGCCGGCAACGGUG
rnacentral:rRNA from 1 species